rnacentral:rRNA from 1 species
UUGAACGCUGGCGGCACGCCUAACACAUGCAAGUCGAACGGCAGCAGCAGAGCUUGCUCUGGCUGGCGAGUGGCGGACGGGUGAGUAACGCGUAGGGAUCUGCCUUUUGGUGGGGACAACUCGAGGAAACUCGAGCUAAUACCGCAUAGACUCUGAGGAGUAAAGCUAGGUAUUUAUAUCUGGCACCAUGAGAUGAACCUACGUUGGAUUAGCUAGUUGGUGGGGUAAAGGCCUACCAAGGCGACGAUCCAUAGCUGGUUUGAGAGGAUGAUCAGCCACACUGGGACUGAGACACGGCCCAGACUCCUACGGGAGGCAGCAGUGGGGAAUAUUGGACAAUGGGGGCAACCCUGAUCCAGCCAUGCCGCGUGUGUGAAGAAGGCCCUAGGGUUGUAAAGCACUUUCAGUGGGGAGGAAAUGGCCAAGGUUAAUAGCCUUGGUAGCUGACGUUACCCACAGAAGAAGCACCGGCUAAUUCCGUG